rnacentral:lncRNA from 1 species
CCCCUCUGAGGGGAGGUCCGGAGGUUGGAGGAGGCCCUCCUGCCCCUGAGGGGUUCUGACAGCAGAGCUCUAACCAGAGGAGGAGAAGGGAAACCGAGGCCCUCUGUAGAAUUACACAGCUCAUCUUGGCUUCUACCCGGGGCCAGGCUUCAACUGAGGCAUCCAGGAGAACCAUGGAGAAGAGCAAGACUGCAGUUCUACUGAAGAAUCUGAGAUGCUGAGGAUUUGACUUGUCUAAAAUGACAUAAGUAGUUAGUGGUGGGAGUCAAACUCAACUCUUCCUACUCCAAAUGCAGCACACUCUGCAUAACACCAAAGUUAACACCCAGUGCCUCAAUCAAGGGACUGGCUAACGAUCAAGAGGCAGAUUGCUGUGGUUAUGCCAGCAUUGCAUUCCCCGAGGGUGGAAGGCAAGAGGAAAACUCUGAGUGCCACCAAGAUGAGCUAUCUCCCAGUGAUGCAGUCUCCUGUGUGGUUUUGGACCAAAUAUCUGGCUGGAUAAGAAUACAAAUGCUGGGCCGGGGAUUUAGCUCAGUGAUUUCACCACCUGCUGCGCAAGCCCAAGGACCCGAGUUUGAUCCCCAAUACCAAAAACAAAGAAUACAAAUGCUUCUGAAAAUAAAUACUGGUUUAAGUUCCAUGAGAGCUAUGUAGUUUAACCUGAAGCUUUUUAAAUCUUUUGACUCAAUCCAUACUUAGCUAGAAGGGGGGCAAGAGUCUUACUAUAGGCCAAACCAAC